UACGUAGGGGGCAAGCGUUGUCCGGAUUUAUUGGGCGUAAAGAGCGUGUAGGCGGCCAGACAAGUCUGCUGUGAAAACUCGAGGCUCAACCUCGAGCUGUCGGUGGAAACUGUCUGGCUAGAGUCCGGAAGAGGAGAGUGGAAUUCCUGGCGUAGCGGUGAAAUGCGCAGAUAUCAGGAAGAACACCGAUGGCGAAGGCAGUUCUCUGGGACGGUACUGACGCUGAGACGCGAAAGCGUGGGGAGCGAACAGG
rnacentral:rRNA from 1 species